rnacentral:rRNA from 1 species
ACGUGUCCAGUAAUGGGGGAUAACCUAGCGAAAGUUAGGCUAAUACCGCAUACGAUCUGAGGAUGAAAGCGGGGGAUGCAGCACUAAAAGCUUAUGGCAGAGUACAGUCAAAGGCGAUCCAAGAGUUUGUGGUGCUGCACCUCGCGUUAUUGGAGCGGAUGAUGUAUGAUUAGCUAGUUGGUGAGGUAAUGGCUUACCAAGGCGACGAUCAUUAGAUGGUGUGAGAGGACGGCCAGCCACAUUGGGACUGAGACACGGCCCAGAGUCCUACGGGAGGCAUCAGUGGGGAAUAUUGGACAAUGGGGGAAACCCUGAUCCAGCAAUGCCGCGUGGGUGAAGAAGGCCUUCGGGUUGUAAAGCCCUUUAGGCUGGGGAUACGAAGAUACACGGGAAGAUAACGCCUGGUAUUUGACGGUACCCGCAGAAUAAGCACCGGCUAACUCUGUGCCA